rnacentral:rRNA from 1 species
GGAGGCAGCAGUGGGGAAUAUUGGACAAUGGACCAAAAGUCUGAUCCAGCAAUUCUGUGUGCACGAUGACGGUCUUCGGAUUGUAAAGUGCUUUCAGUUGGGAAGAAAGAAAUGACGGUACCAACAGAAGAAGCGACGGCUAAAUACGUGCCAGCAGCCGCGGUAAUACGUAUGUCGCAAGCGUUAUCCGGAUUUAUUGGGCGUAAAGCGCGUCUAGGUGGUUUGAUAAGUCUGAUGUGAAAAUGCGGGGCUCAACUCCGUAUUGCGUUGGAAACUGUCAAACUAGAGUAUCGGAGAGGUGGGCGGAACUACAAGUGUAGAGGUGAAAUUCGUAGAUAUUUGUAGGAAUGCCGAUAGAGAAGUCAGCUCACUGGACGAAUACUGACACUGAAGCGCGAAAGCAUGGGGAGCAAACAGGAUUAGAUACCCUGGUAGUCCAUGCCGUAAACGAUGAUUACUAAGCGUCGGGGGUCGAACCUCGGCACUCAAGCUAACGCGAUA